rnacentral:rRNA from 1 species
AGUCGAACGCACAGCGAAAGGUGCUUGCACCUUUCAAGUGAGUGGCGAACGGGUGAGUAACACGUGGACAACCUGCCUCAAGGCUGGGGAUAACAUUUGGAAACAGAUGCUAAUACCGAAUAAAACUUAGUGUCGCAUGACACAAAGUUAAAAGGCGCUUCGGCGUCACCUAGAGAUGGAUCCGCGGUGCAUUAGUUAGUUGGUGGGGUAAAGGCCUACCAAGACAAUGAUGCAUAGCCGAGUUGAGAGACUGAUCGGCCACAUUGGGACUGAGACACGGCCCAAACUCCUACGGGAGGCUGCAGUAGGGAAUCUUCCACAAUGGGCGAAAGCCUGAUGGAGCAACGCCGCGUGUGUGAUGAAGGCUUUCGGGUCGUAAAGCACUGUUGUAUGGGAAGAACAGCUAGAAUAGGAAAUGAUUUUAGUUUGACGGUACCAUACCAGAAAGGGACGGCUAAAUACGUGCCAGCAGCCGCGGUAAUACGUAUGUCCCGAGCGUUAUCCGGAUUUAUUGGGCGUAAAGCGAGCGCAGACGGUUUAUUAAGUCUGAUGUGAAAGCCCGGAGCUCAACUCCGGAAUGGCAUUGGAAACUGGUUAACUUGAGUGCAGUAGAGGUAAGUGGAACUCCAUGUGUAGCGGUGGAAUGCGUAGAUAUAUGGAAGAACACCAGUGGCGAAGGCGGCUUACUGGACUGCAACUGACGUUGAGGCUCGAAAGUGUGGGUAGCAAACAGGAUUAGAUACCCUGGUAGUCCACACCGUAAACGAUGAACACUANGUGUUAGGAGGUUUCCGCCUCUUAGUGCCGAAGCUAACGCAUUAAGUGUUCCGCCUGGGGAGUACGACCGCAAGGUUGAAACUCAAAGGAAUUGACGGGGACCC